rnacentral:rRNA from 1 species
AACGAACGCUGGCGGCAUGCCUAACACAUGCAAGUCGAACGAUAUCUUCGGGUCUAGUGGCGCACGGGUGCGUAACGCGUGGGAAUCUGCCCUUUGGUUCGGAAUAACAGUUGGAAACGACUGCUAAUACCGGAUGAUGACGAAAGUCCAAAUAUUUAUCGCCAGAGGAUGACCCCGCGUAGGAUUAGCUAGUUGGUGUGGUAAAGGCGCACCAAGGCGACUAUCCUUAGCUGGUCUGAGAGGAUGAUCACCCACACUGGGACUGAGACACGGCCCACACUCCUACGGGAGGCAGCAGUGGGGAAUAUUGGACAAUGGGCGAAAGCCUGAUCCAGCAAUGCCGCGUGAGUGAUGAAGGCCUUAGGGUUGUAAAGCUCUUUUACCCGGGAUGAUAAUGACAGUACCGGGAGAAUAAGCUCCGGCUAACUCCGUGCCAGCAGCCGCGGUAAUACGGAGGGAGCUAGCGUUGUUCGGAAUUACUGGGCGUAAAGCGCACGUAG